GGCAACAUAAUCAACUUCCUUUGACCAAGGAUUGCGAAAUACAACUGAUGUAGAUUUUAUAGGAACAUAGUGCCCAGCUUUCGCGCGAAACCGAAAUAUCACUUCCGGUGUUGUCCAGGGCUUGUUAUGGAGGUCUUUGUAAUGAGCUUCAGCGAGGAUCUUAAGGUCAUAUUUAUGUAAGAAACUGUAUGUUGAUUUGCCGUAAACUUCAUCUGGACAAAAACCAAAUAUCUUGGUGAAACUACAUUGAAGGGAUGAAUGAAAUAACAAGUGUUCAUUACAUUUCCCAGCAUUGUUGCAAAGCAAAAUUCCCAAGUU